ACGCUGGCGGCAGGCUACACAUGCAAGUCGAGCGCGCCUUCGGGUGAGCGGCGGACGGGUUAGUAACGCGUGGGAACGUGCCCUUCUCUACGGAAUAGCCUCUGGAAACGGAGAGUAAUACCGUAUACGCCCUUUGGGGGAAAGAUUUAUCGGAGAAGGAUCGGCCCGCGUUAGAUUAGGUAGUUGGUGGGGUAACGGUCUACCAAGCCUACGAUCUAUAGCUGGUUUUAGAGGAUGAUCAGCAACACUGGGACUGAGACACGGCCCAGACUCCUACGGGAGGCAGCAGUGGGGAAUCUUAGACAAUGGGGGCAACCCUGAUCUAGCCAUGCCGCGUGAGUGAUGAAAGCCUUAGGGUCGUAAAGCUCUUUCGACUGUGAUGAUAAUGACAGUAGCAGGUAAAGAAACCCCGGCUAAAUCCGUGCCAAAAGACGCGGUAAUACGGAGGGGGUUAGAGUUGUUCGGAAUUACUGGGCGUAAAGCGCGCGUAGGCGGAUUAGACAAGUAGGGGGUGAAAUCCGGGGCUCAACCCGGAAAUUGCUCCAAACUGCUCGUUACACGUCGCAGACGUGAGUGAAUCCGAGUGUAAAGUAAAUCGUAAUUUCUGAGGAACACC
rnacentral:rRNA from 1 species